GCGAUUCCUCCAGAGUGAGGAGACCCGGACCGGGUGGAUUUAAACUCGUGCGGUAGUAACGGGGCCGGGCCCGGUUUGUGGGCGCGGCCUAUUCUGCAAUGCGAGACCCUGCGGUCCUACGCUCCUCGGUCUUCUCAACCACCUAGGCCCGGCGGUAGAGGGCAAUCGGUGGUGGAGCCCCAGAAUAAAGGUCCCCUGAAAACGCUGGAGCUAGAUUCAGGGCUGACCUCUGAGGUCCGGAGUAUCCGCUGGACAGAAGACAACGCGGUGGGCCGUCCCACGGGCCCUGCCAGUCUCCGGAGAAGGCCUUUGAAGUGAAAGAAAUCGCCUCGGCGCCUCCGCAAGCCAGGUUCUGUCUCCAGCUUCUGUGGACUCUGCUUCUCCAGUAAAUGACCUUUGAGGAAAACUGACCAAUUUUUGGAAUCUAAAAUCAUGGCUCAUCAUUUGGUGAUGUUCAGAGAUGUGGCCGUAGACUUUUCUCAGGAAGAGUGGGAAUGCCUGAACUCAUAUCAGAGGAAUUUGUACAGAGAUGUGAUACUAGAGAACUAUAGCAACUUGGUGUCAGUGGGAUGUUCCAUUUCUAAGCCAGAUGUGAUCACCCUACUAGAGCAAGGGAAAGAACCCUGGAUGGUUGUGAGGGAUGAGAGAAGAAGAAGGAGCCUAGGUGAGUAAAUGCUAAUCAGGCUGAGAUUCGUGGUUCUGGCCUGGCACAGCCUGCUGGUUGGCAAGGAAACACACCCCAUACAUGUUGAUAAUGAAGAGAAGACCUGAAACUUGGGAAGAAAACUUAGAUCUCCGCAU